UACGUAGGGUGCGAGCGUUGUCCGGAAUUAUUGGGCGUAAAGGGCUCGUAGGCGGUUUGUCGCGUCGGGAGUGAAAACCCAGGGCUUAACUCUGGGCUUGCUUUCGAUACGGGCAGACUAGAGGUAUGCAGGGGAGAACGGAAUUCCGUGGUGUAGCGGUGAAAUGCGCAGAUAUCAGGAGGAACACCGGUGGCGAAGGCGGUUCUCUGGGCCGGUACUGACACUGAGGAGCGAAAGCGUGGGUAGCAAACAGG
rnacentral:rRNA from 1 species